rnacentral:rRNA from 1 species
GGCUCAGGAUGAACGCUAGCUACAGGCUUAACACAUGCAAGUCGAGGGGCAGCACAAGGCAGCAAUGCUGAGGUGGCGACCGGCGCACGGGUGCGUAACGCGUAUCCAACCUUCCCGUUACUCAGGGAUAGCCUUCCGAAAGGGAGAUUAAUACCUGAUGGUGUUUGAAGUUCGCAUGUUCUUCAAACUAAAGAUUUAUCGGUAACGGAUGGGGAUGCGUGACAUUAGAUAGUAGGCGGGGUAACGGCCCACCUAGUCUACGAUCAGUAGGGGUUCUGAGAGGAAGGUCCCCCACACUGGAACUGAGACACGGUCCAGACUCCUACGGGAGGCAGCAGUGAGGAAUAUUGGUCAAUGGGCGCGAGCCUGAACCAGCCAAGUAGCGUGCAGGAUGACGGCCCUACGGGUUGUAAACUGCUUUUAUGCGGGAAUAAAGAUAUCUACGUGUAGAUAGUUGCAUGUACCGCAUGAAUAAGGACCGGCUAAUUCCGUG